AUUGAACGCUGGCGGCAGGCCUAACACAUGCAAGUCGAGCGGGGUUUUCGGACCUAGCGGCGGACGGGUGAGUAAUGCGUAGGAAGCUGCCCAAUAGAGGGGGAUACCAGUUGGAAACGACUGUUAAUACCGCAUAAUGUCUACGGACCAAAGUGUGGGACCUUCGGGCCACAUGCUAUCGGAUGCGCCUACGUGGGAUUAGCUAGUUGGUGAGGUAAUGGCUCACCAAGGCGACGAUCUCUAGCUGGUUUGAGAGGAUGAUCAGCCACACUGGAACUGAGACACGGUCCAGACUCCUACGGGAGGCAGCAGUGGGGAAUAUUGGACAAUGGGCGCAAGCCUGAUCCAGCCAUGCCGCGUGUGUGAAGAAGGCCUUCGGGUUGUAAAGCACUUUCAGCGAGGAGGAAGGGGUGUGUGUUAAUAGUACACACCUUUGACGUUACUCGCAGAAGAAGCACCGGCUAACUCUGUGCCAGCCGCCGCUGUAAAAC
rnacentral:rRNA from 1 species